GGCCCUUUGGCGCAAUGGUAGCGCGUCUCCCUCCUAAGGAGAAGGCUGUGCGUUCGAGUCGCAUGAGGGUCG